rnacentral:lncRNA from 1 species
AUGUCCUGCAGGUCCGGUCUCUCCAGGUUCCUCCUCACUCCCCUCAGGUUAGAGCUCGGCCCAUUAGGAAAAGGUCAGCGUAUCGAACACAGACGUCUCAAGCUGCUCCUUCAGCAGCUUCUCUCCUCCACCGUUUGUGUUGUGUGGCCUCUGGUAAAAGGUCAGCGCUUCUGCAGCCUUGGUUCUGGGUUUGAUCCGACGGGCCCGGCCGUUCUCCUUGUAUCCGUUCAUCCAUCACGUCUGCUGACGUGCGUUCAUCUUUCUGUCCAUUUCGCCUCUUCCUGUUCGUUUGUCGUCUUCACUCGUCAUCUGUACUCGUACCUCAGUAAUGUACCACUCUGGAGCGCCGGUUCUGCUGCUCCAGGCUUCUUUCUGGACCUCACUGGUUCUGUUAUUACUGAACAUACAGCUUCAUUAAAGCUACACACUGCACUCGUUUCCUCACCUCGCUUUCCUCUCCUUCAUUUGCUCCUCUGCUUUUCUGUCCAUCAAACAGUACAGUCCUCUCCUCUCUUUCCUCUCCUUUCCUCACCCCUCUUUCCUCUUGUCACUUCUCUUUCAUCUCCUCUCUUUCCUCUCCUCCUCACCCCUCUUUCCUCUCCUCACCCCUCUUUCCUCUUGUCACUCCUCUUUCAUCUCCUCUCUUUCCUCUCCUCCUCACCCCUCUUUCCUCUUGUCACUUCUCUUUCAUCUCCUCUCUUUCCUCUCCUCCUCACCCCUCUUUCCUCGUCACCCCUCUUUCAUCUCCUCUCUUUCCUCUCCUCCUCACCCCUCUUUCCUCGUCACCCCUCUUUCAUCUCCUCUCUUUCCUCUCCUCCUCACCCCUUUUUCCUCUCCUCACCCCUCUUUCCUCUUGUCACUCCUCUUUCAUCUCCUCUCUUUCCUCUCCUCCUCACCCCUCUUUCCUCUUGUCACCCCUCUUUCAUCUCCUCUCUUUCCUCUCCUCCUCACCCCUUUUUCCUCUCCUCACCCCUCUUUCCUCUUGUCACUCCUCUUUCAUCUCCUCUCUUUCCUCUCCUCCUCACCCCUCUUUGCUCUCCUCCUCACCCCUCCUCCCUAACUUCCUCUCCCCUCACCCCUCUUUCCUCUCCUCCAUUUUUCUGUCCAUCAAACAGUGCGGUCCUCCCCUCAGCUGUUUGA